AAAAAAAAAAAGGAGGAGAAAAUGAAAAAGGAUAAUUUGACUUGGGCACUGGGCGGACAAUAGAAAAUCUACAGUGCCCGGCGGGUAAAUAUCCAGUGUUCCCUUCCCAGGAGCCUUUUCCCUCCCUGUCCUUUAGCAUACUGGCAUUAGAGUUCUCGCGAGGCAAAUUCUCGAUCCAUAAGUAGACGGUAAUAACUGAUAUGCUUCCUCCCUCUUAAUUAUACCAUUGUUUAUAAGAAAAUUAAUUAUUCAAUAAUCUUUCAAAUACGAGUCCUUUGAUUUUACAAUUUGAUUGUACAAUCAGAUUGAAUUAAUGUAAUUUUUCUUGAAUUUUUGAAUUAAGAUGAAUACGCUGGAGAGAAGUGGAUCGGGUUCAGUGGUGCAAAGCCCUAGAUCUCCGUCGCCACAAGCGCCGUAUUUAACGGUAUCAGUCACUGAUCCAGCUAAAAUGGGCAAUGGCGUCCAGGCUUAUAUCUCCUACAAAGUU
rnacentral:lncRNA from 1 species